rnacentral:rRNA from 1 species
UACGUAGGGCGCAAGCGUUACUCGGAAUUACUGGGCGUAAAGGGCGCGUAGGCGUCCUAACAAGUCUUGUGUGAAAGCCCCAAGCCUAACUUGGGAAGUGCACAAGAAACUGUAUGGAUAGAGUUCCGGAGAGGAAGAUGGAAUUCCCGGUGUAGCGGUGAAAUGCGCAGAUAUCAGGAGGAACACCGGUGGCGAAGGCGGAUCUCUGGGCCAUUACUGACGCUGAGGAGCGAAAGCGUGGGGAGCGAACAGG